rnacentral:tRNA from 1 species
AUUUAAAUAGUUUAAUUAUAAAAUAUUGAUUUGUGGUAUCAAAGAUAGUUAUUACUUUUAAAUU